CCCACGUUAACGUUUCUUUGGUUUCUCGCUUGUUAUUGCAUCGCUAGCUAGGAGAGGAGAGAAUAGGGCAUAAAACCGGCGCGGUAAAUGGUGGAAAACCAGCCACCGACGGCACAGGAAAGGUUGCGUCUUAAAAUUGGUCUCAAGUGUUAGCUUUUGUGGUUAGGGAAGUGUUUGGGUUGUCUUUGUUUGCUAGUUUUGUUCUUUUGGGGCAUUUAAGCAAUGUCUACAGAGGCAAACUUAAGGCAUAGGCUUACUAAAAAACUCAAGAUUUCAGUUGGAAAUUCUAGGCAUUCUACGGGAGGAAUUAAGAAAUCUCCAAGGAGAUUGGAUGAUGAUACAUCUUUGAAGAGAGGAAAUGGUGGGAAGUUGAAUUCGAAGCGAAGUAAGGUAGACGUCUCUUCGAACUUUGAUAGGAGAAAGAAGACAAGUUAUGCUGACCAAGUUAUCCAUGAGGGUAUAUUAUUACAUGAGAAUGCAAAAUCACUUAGCAGGAAGAAUUUGUCUUCGAAAAAACAGAAUCAGGUCAAAUUUGAUGGAAGUGGAGGGAGCAUCAGUGACAAAUCCGUUCGCUCAAUGUGGGUUUCGAAUAGGUUGAGAAAAGCUACUUCUGAGAUCAAACGCUCUUCACAUAGAAUAACGGAUGCUUUGGAAAGUGUGGAAGUAUCUGACGGUAAAGGGAGGACCAAGGCAAACAAGGUGAAUAAAAUAGCUGGCUUUGAUAGUGCUUCAUUGAAGAAAGACACAAGAAUAAAAUCAAACUCAGAUAAGACGUUGAAUCAAAGUCAAAGCAACUGUGCUGAAGUACAACCUUCUCCCUCUGUCAUGAGAAAAGCUCGGGAUAAGAGGGGCUUUGCAGAUGAUGAUAAGGAGGAUCUAGAUGUUCAGCCAAAGAAGAGCAAGCGGGUGAUUCGGAUAGAUCCAAAUGAUAUUUCAAAUAAACGGCUCGAUGAUGGCAUUCUUAUGAAUGAAGGUCUCAAAGAUAAGAAAAGAGAUUCAGAGAAAAAUGCUGAAAUGUCAAAGAAUGCGCAAUUUCGUGCAAUAAAACCCAGUCCCUCAAUCCAGUCUUUUGUGGAAGAUAAUUUGUUAGGACGUAGACGCUUGAUCGAGCUCAGAAGGGCUGGCUACAAUGUCGAACUCUCUGCACCUUUAGAUAAUAUUCCCUUCUCUACAAGCUCUGAGAGAGAGCGAAUUGAGGAAAAUAUUUUUAGGAAUAAGUUGACAUUUUUUGCUGCUGCAAAGGUAUCGUCGUCAUUCCCACCUCUUGAUCUUCCAGAGAUUGCCUUUGCAGGGAGGUCAAAUGUUGGGAAGUCAUCACUAUUAAAUUCACUCACCAGACAAUGGGGUGUUGUACGGACUUCGGAUAAGCCUGGCCUCACACAGAGUAUUAAUUUCUUUAAUCUGGGAUCAAAACUCUGCUUGGUUGAUCUGCCUGGAUAUGGAUUUGCUUAUGCAAAAGAGGAAGUUAAGGAUGCCUGGGAAGAGCUUGUGAAGGAGUAUGUCUCGACAAGAGUUGGUCUAAAACGGGUAUGCCUUCUUAUUGAUACAAAAUGGGGUAUGAAGCCAAGAGAUCACGAACUUGUUGAUCUGAUGGAAAGAUCUCAGACUAAGUACCAGAUUAUGUUAACCAAGACGGACAUGGUCUUCCCAAUGGAUGUGGCACGGCGUGCAAUGCAAAUUGAAGAGACCCUCAAGGCUAACAAGUCUGCUGUUCAACCCGUGAUGAUGGUCAGCUCAAAGUCUGGAGCAGGUAUCCAAUGUUUAAGAACAGUGCUGGGUAAGAUAGCUCGGUUUGCCAAGCUCUGAUUCUCGGUCAGGAUAUAAAGCAUUGCAGAUGCACGUGUUUUAUUGUUCAUCCUCAAAAUGGCUGGUCGGGUUACAGUUUUUCGUUCACAAAGUGGCGGGACGUCGAAGGCAAUGGAAUUACACCCCCACUGUGAUUGGCAUUUGGCAAGGCUUAUCCAACAGUCUUUUGUAAACUUUUUGCAUGGUUUGAACUUUGUAAAGCUGAUUAUUGUGCUUUUUUCCUGUGCGCAUACGUACAUGUAAGAGUGGAGGACAGCAGAGGAGAAAUAUCAAGUGUGGACCUGCUGUUUUUUCUGUUUAUAUUUCCUGUUCCAUAGAAAAACAGUUAAUAAGAUUGAGCAGGUAACAAGCUCUGUCUUCAGUGGCAGAGCACCAAUUCGAUUUCCACUGGAAGAUUGGUUGCGACUUUCCUGGUCUUUCAGCCAACCCAU